rnacentral:rRNA from 1 species
AUUGAACGCUGGCGGCAUGCUUUACACAUGCAAGUCGAACGGCAGCGGGGGCUUCGGCCUGCCGGCGAGUGGCGAACGGGUGAGUAGUGCAUCGGAACGUGCCCAUGUCGUGGGGGAUAACGUAUCGAAAGGUACGCUAAUACCGCAUACGUCCUGAGGGAGAAAGCGGGGGAUCUUCGGACCUCGCGCGAUUGGAGCGGCCGAUGUCGGAUUAGCUAGUAGGUGAGGUAAAGGCUCACCUAGGCGACGAUCCGUAGCGGGUCUGAGAGGAUGAUCCGCCACACUGGGACUGAGACACGGCCCAGACUCCUACGGGAGGCAGCAGUGGGGAAUUUUGGACAAUGGGCGCAAGCCUGAUCCAGCCAUGCCGCGUGAGUGAAGAAGGCCUCGG